UCCCCUGUGCCCAUAGAUGAGAGCUACAGCUCCUACCACCCCGAUGGUGACUUCCCCCUGGUGAAGGUGCUGCGGGACCCCAUCUACGUGGAGGUCCGGCUCCUGCACAAGACAGACCCCAACCUGGUGCUGGUGCUGCACCAGUGCUGGGCAGCCCCCAGUACCGAGCCCACGGCACAGCCCCAGUGGCCCAUUCUGGUGGAUGGGUGCCCCUUUGUAGGGGAUAACUAUAGGACGCAGCUCGUGCCGGUUGGACCAGCAUCCCCACAGCUCCCAUUCCCCAGCCAUUACCAGCGCUUCAUCAUCUCCACCUUCACCUUUGUGGAGCCCCCAUCCAUGGCAGUGCUGGAGGGAGAGGUGUUCAUCUCCUGCAGUGCCUCCGUCUGCCAUCUGGCCCAGCCCGAGCCCUGCCGCCCCUCCUGCCACCUUGGGGUGCCCUCACGUGAGUGUGGGUGUGCCCUGGUGAUGGGGACCCCCCCUUUGUGUGUGUGUACCCCCAAACCAAGGCCCUUAUCCCCCCCCAGGUGCACGGAGGUCACCAAGGGGCAGGAGAACAGGAGCCAUGGGCACAGUCAGCUCCCAGGGCAGCAUCACCUUCCCUAUGGGGACCAGGCUGCAGCGAGGCAGGGGAUGAAGUCCCUGCUCUUCCUCUUCCUCUCCUCCAGGCAGAUGUUGCUGCACAUCUGGGCACACUGCAUCAAUAAAGCCCCUGGAGCA
rnacentral:lncRNA from 14 species